rnacentral:rRNA from 1 species
AUGGUGGCGGCGGGGCCUCGGUUGCCCUGCAUCUGCGUGGGGAACCCUGAAUCUGGAGCGGCGGCUCCAUUGGCAAGGCACGGCCGGCUAGCAGCCGUGCGGGCGGUGGAUCUGGUGUCCCGGCCGCGCGGGCGGCGGGAUCCGGUGGUCGUUGGCGACCGGCGGCGGCUUCUGCGGCGGUCGGUGCGCGCGAUCUGGCGGCUCCCCUCCUCCCCUGUUCGGCGUGCGUGCCAGCCUGGUCGGGCCACGCUUCCUCUUGGUUGCCGGUUCUGUACAGGAGGCGCUGGUGGUGGCGGGAUCUAA